CUGGUGUCAGCCGCCGCGGUAAUACCAGCACCCCGAGUGGUCGGGACGUUUAUUGGGCCUAAAGCAUCCGUAGCCGGUUCUGCAAGUCUUCCGUUAAAUCCACCUGCUUAACAGAUGGGCCGCGGAAGAUACUAUAGAGCUAGGAGGCGGGAGAGGCAAGCGGUACUCGAUGGGUAGGGGUAAAAUCCGUUGAUCCAUUGAAGACCACCAGUGGCGAAGGCGGCUUGCCAGAACGCGCUCGACGGUGAGGGAUGAAAGCUGGGGGAGCAAACCGGAUUAGAUACCCGGGUAGUCCCAGCUGUAAACGAUGCAGACUCGGUGAUGGGUUGGCUUCGUGCCAACCCAGUGCCGCAGGGAAGCCGUUAAGUCUGCCGCCUGGGGAGUACGGUCGCAAGACUGAAACUUAAAG
rnacentral:rRNA from 2 species